rnacentral:pre_miRNA from 13 species
UCAGAGGCCUGACCCGCCUGCCCAGUGUUCAGACUACCUGUUCAGGAAGUAGUGAUUGUACAGUAGUCUGCACAUUGGUUAGGCUGAACAGGAGAACCA